UCUGCAUAUUGUUAAAGUUUGGAGUUGGGGCCGCUAGCUGGCCAAUGAGCUUACAAGUGUAGGUAAUGCACUACAAUGAGGGGCAGAUCCUCCACUAACAUCACAAGGGUCUCUGGCCCAAUGAGUGAAGUCUGAUAGGAAUUCUUGCUACAAGA
ensembl:snoRNA SNORA62 Small nucleolar RNA SNORA62/SNORA6 family